ACUCCUACGGGAGGCAGCAGUGGGGAAUCUUGGACAAUGGGCGCAAGCCUGAUCCAGCCAUGCCGCGUGAGUGAUGAAGGCCCUAGGGUCGUAAAGCUCUUUCGCCAGGGAUGAUAAUGACAGUACCUGGUAAAGAAACCCCGGCUAACUCCGUGCCAGCAGCCGCGGUAAUACGGAGGGGGUUAGGCGUUGUUCGGAAUUACUGGGGCGUAAAGCGCGCGUAGGCGGAUUAGUCAGUCAGAGGUGAAAUCCCAGGGGCUCAACCCUGGAACUGCCUUUGAUACUGCUAGUCUUGAGUUCGAGAGAGGUGAGUGGAAUUCCGAGUGUAGAGGUGAAAUUCGUAGAUAUUCGGAGGAACACCAGUGGCGAAGGCGGCUCACUGGCUCGAUACUGACGCUGAGGUGCGAAAGUGUGGGGAGCAAACAGGAUUAGAUACCCUGGUAGCGACUGA
rnacentral:rRNA from 1 species